rfam:Streptomyces sp. NBRC 110027 DNA, contig: TPA059804.
CGCCCGGACGGAUCCCGUGGGGGGAAUCCAACCGGGACACGGGAAGCGCCCCGCACUCUGGA